GAGGGUAUAGCUCAAGUGGUAGAGUUCAUGCCUGACAUGCACGAGGUCCCAGGUUCAAUCCCCAGUACCUCCU
rnacentral:tRNA from 1 species